rnacentral:rRNA from 12 species
GUUUAUUCAACUAUUUACAGAGGCACAGCUAACUGUCAGAUCUCGGAAGCUAAGCCAGGCCAGGCCUGGUUAGUACUUAGAUGGAAGACCUCCGUAGAAAACCGGGGACCACUAAACU